UACGUAGGUGGCAAGCGUUGUCCGGAUUUACUGGGCGUAAAGAGCGCGCAGGCGGUCGUUCAAGUCGAGUGUGAAAGCCCCCGGCUCAACUGGGGAGGGUCACUCGAUACUGAUCGACUCGAAGGCAGAAGAGGGAAGCGGAAUUCCCGGUGUAGUGGUGAAAUGCGUAGGAUAUCUGGAGGAACACCGGUGGCGAAGGCGGCAUCCUGGACCAAUUCUGGACGCUGAGGAGCGAAAGCCAGGGGAGCAAACGGG
rnacentral:rRNA from 1 species